GACGAACGCUGGCGGCGUGCCUAAUACAUGCAAGUCGAGCGGAACUGGGGGAGCUUGCUCCUUCCAGUCUAGCGGCGGACGGGUGAGUAACACGUGGGCAACCUGCCCUGCAGAUCGGGAUAACUCCGGGAAACCGGUGCUAAUACCGAAUUGUUUGGCGCCUCUCCUGAGGCGCCACGGAAAGACGGUUUCGGCUGUAACUGCAGGAUGGGCCCGCGGCGCAUUAGCUAGUUGGUGGGGUAACGGCCCACCAAGGCGACGAUGCGUAGCCGACCUGAGAGGGUGAUCGGCCACACUGGGACUGAGACACGGCCCAGACUCCUACGGGAGGCAGCAGUAGGGAAUCUUCCGCAAUGGACGCAAGUCUGACGGAGCAACGCCGCGUGAGUGACGAAGGUUUUCGGAUCGUAAAACUCUGUUGUGAGGGAAGAACACGUACCAACUAACUAUUGGUACCUUGACGGUACCUCACCAGAAAGCCACGGCUAACUACGUGCCAGCAGCCGCAGUAA
rnacentral:rRNA from 1 species